UUCACCUGAUGAUUUAUAAGUUUCUCUAAAUUCGCAGUGACCCCCCUACCAAUGCCGAAAGGCUGCUGUAGGUUAGAGCCGCGUCUGAU
rnacentral:snoRNA from 16 species